AUAUUCACCUGACAGGAAAGCUACCAUGAUCGUGUAGGUAGCUUCAGCAGGUAAGGCUUAUCCAUUACAGUCCCGAUGUGUUUUUCCUGGUGAUUUCCCAAUGAAAAAAAAUCAAUUGUAUUAUGGUAGCAGGGGACUGUGUUCACACUCUCCCCUA
ensembl:snRNA U1 U1 spliceosomal RNA